UACGUAGGGGGCAAGCGUUGUCCGGAUUUAUUGGGCGUAAAGAGCGUGUAGGCGGUUAGGUAGGUCCGUUGUGAAAAACUCGAGGCUCAACCUCGAGACGCCGAUGGAAACCAUCUGACUAGAGUCCGGAAAGAGGAGAGUGGAAUUCCUGGUGUAGCGGUGAAAUGCGCAGAUAUCAGGAAGAACACCUGGUGAAAGGCGGCUCUCUAGUACGUGACUGACGCUGAGACGCGAAAAAGCGUGGGGGGAGCGAAACAGG
rnacentral:rRNA from 1 species